CGCUUUGAGGAACACCUAAAUCAUCCAAAGGAAAAAAAUUUAUAGCUUCUUAUCAGAAGAAAUUAAUUUCUUCAAGCCUUGCUCAGACUGGAAGACACCAGGGGAUUAAAGGAAACAGCUGACAUACAACAGACAGAGUUUCUUGUUUUAAAUAGAAUGUAUGCAUAACCAUAUAUGAAUAUGCAACAAGUGUAUUGUUUCAAGGGUGAUUCCUUUGUUCACAAGGGAUACUUUUUGUGACUUAGUGUCCCACAGCAUCCAGACAUCCGUAAUUCUUUGCCUUUUAUUGUCUUUUAAUUGUCCUAACUCUAAACUUUAUUACUCUAAUUGUAUUGCUAUUUUAAUAACCAUUUUAUUAUUAUUAAACUUUCAAAAAUUUUAAAAAACCAAGUGAUUUGCAUUUUUCCCAGGAUAAAGGGAAGAACCCUUGCCCACCCUGGGGCCAUCCUGCUGCCCUUGGUGGCCGUGCCCAGGAGGAGAUGACUGUCCCUUGCUGGUGGCAGUGAAUUAAAGCAGGGUGGCUUUUGCCAAGGACCUUUUUUUUAUUGAGGCAGCGAAGCACAAAUCAUCUCCAGGAGUUUGACUGGUUAAAAAUGAGAAGAUCUGAAAGUUGUUGCAAUUGGGACUGACUCUGCUGAAGGAAUGAAAAAUUGGGCUGGAUUUUCCAACGUGUCCUUGCAAGGCCAUUGCUGUGACCUGGUGGAGACUUCCAAGGGCUUGGCCAUGGUCCAGGUGUGAGGCUGAGAGCUCCAAAAUGCCCCUGGGAGGUCCUGGCUCAGCAUCACCUGGCUACUGGUGCAAAGCAAGGCCACCAACACCAACACCAGGAGCUCAGGGCUUGUUCUGCAAGGGAGGAACCAGAUUUGGGACCUGGUGACUGCAGAGAGCUACACUGACCCAUUUUCCUCUGGCUGGUGGAUACAGGCACUGGGAAAAGCUCCAUAGCAACUGGAUGUGCACAGUCUAAUGAUGAAAUAAAUCCCCACGGUGCUCCCUUGUGAAGAUAAAUGGAUCCAGGAUGUUUCCCCCCUCGCAGCCAUUAGGAAAGGUCUAUAUUUAGAAGGUCCUGUCCCACUUUGCCGUGUGCCAAACAGCAGCACAGCCUGGGCAAGGGCAGUGAGUGGGAUGAGCAAGUCCAGGACAACACAUGGAACAUCCUUCCAGGAAGCUUUGGCAGCAUGAGGAAUCUUGCUGGUUAUCCCAUGGCAUUUUGGGUGGGCGUUUUUCCCUCCCAAAACCAGUGCCAGGCACUCCUGAUGGUGGUGGUGGCAUUUCACACCCACUUGAAUUGUGCACCCAACAGCCCCAUCCCAGGUGUUAAUCCCAAAAGGAGGGACAGAUCCAGCAGUGCUGUUGGAUCCGUGAGUGUCACCCCUGGAAGAUCUCAGAAAAACAAGGCAGCAGCAGCAGAGCUGUGUUAUUGAGAAUAUUUUGGGUUCUUUCCUGGUUGUCUUUUCUUUAAGCUCUCCACAGCAGCUCAGGUCAGCUCUUAUUACCUUCGGCUGUCCCUCCUGUCCCCUGGCACAGAGCACUGAGACACAGACAGUGAGAACUUUGAGAUGGCACGAUAAAUAAAAUAGAUGCUGUUAUUGCAGCCCUCUCCUGUUUGCUGCUGCCAUGGUUUCUCAUCUCUUCUCUGACUUAUUGCUGAUGUCUCCUGUCAGCCCAGCUUGCCUCUCUCGGAGAUGUGAUUUAUGGGCCAGGGAGGCAGAGCAGAAACACGGCAAAAUUGCAAA